rnacentral:rRNA from 1 species
GCGUCGUAGUCCGGAUUGGAGUCUGCAACUCGACUCCAUGAAGUCGGAAUCGCUAGUAAUCGUGGAUCAGAAUGCCACGGUGAAUACGUUCCCGGGCCUUGUACACACCGCCCGUCACACCAUGGGAGUGGGUUGCAAAAGAAGUAGGUAGCUUAACCUUCGGGAGGGCGCUUACCACUUUGUGAUUCAUGACUGGGGUGAAGUCGUAACAAG